CCUACGGGAGGCAGCAGUGGGGAAUUUUGGACAAUGGGCGAAAGCCUGAUCCAGCCAUACCGCGUGCGGGAAGAAGGCCUUCGGGUUGUAAACCGCUUUUGUCAGGGAAGAAAUACUUCGGGCUAAUACCCUGGGGUGAUGACGGUACCUGAAGAAUAAGCACCGGCUAACUACGUGCCAGCAGCCGCGGUAAUACGUAGGGUGCAAGCGUUAAUCGGAAUUACUGGGCGUAAAGCGUGCGCAGGCGGUUCUAUAAGACAGAUGUGAAAUCCCCGGGCUCAACCUGGGAACUGCAUUUGUGACUGUAGAGCUAGAGUACGGUAGAGGGGGAUGGAAUUCCGCGUGUAGCAGUGAAAUGCGUAGAUAUGCGGAGGAACACCGAUGGCGAAGGCAAUCCCCUGGACCUGUACUGACGCUCAUGCACGAAAGCGUGGGGAGCAAACAGGAUUAGAUACCCUGGUAGUCCACGCCCUAAACGAUGUCAACUGGUUGUUGGGAGGGUUUUCUUCUCAGUAACGAAGCUAACGCGUGAAGUUGACCGCCUGGGGAGUACGGCCGCAAGGUUGAAACUUAAUGAAUUGACGG
rnacentral:rRNA from 1 species